CAGUCUGCAACUCGACUGUACGAAGCUGGAAUCGCUAGUAAUCGCGAAUCAGAAUGUCGCGGUGAAUACGUUCCCGGGUCUUGUACACACCGCCCGUCACACCAUGGGAGUCGGGAACACCCGAAGUCCGUAGCCUAACUUUAACGAGGGGGCGCGGCCGAAGGUGGGUUCGAUAAUUGGGGUGAAGUCGUAACAAGGUAAC
rnacentral:rRNA from 1 species